AGUGUAUACAAAACACUUACACUCACUUAAACAGAACUCUUUUUGUAGAGUAGAUAUGAGUAAACAAGUACGCUCAAGAACACAACAAUAAAUUCAAGAAAUGGCUUCUCAAAAGCAAUUAAUAAUAUGAAAUGAAUGAAGAAUGUUUGGAAGCUUGUAUAUGAUAUUUGCUCAGAUUGUUGUGUAUCAAAUGAGAGUUUUUGGGGUGUAUUUAUAGCCGCAAAAACUCUUGUAUCCGUUGCUAAAUGAUUGAACAAUUUGUCAAAAAUCUGCAGCGAUAAUCGAUUAUCGUAGGACGAUAAUCGAUUAACCUUUCAAAAAUAUAAACGUUGAAAGGCAACGGAUACUAAGAUAAUCGAUUAACCUAUGUCAGAUAAUCGAUUAUUUCAAUGAUAAUCGAUUAUCGCACUUUAGAUAAUCGAUUAACUUAAUUGAAAAACUAGACGUUGAGAAAUAACGGAUAAACGAUAAUCGAUUAUUGUUUGUAAGAUAAUCGAUUAUCUCACCUUGCGUAAAAUCGUCCAGUUUAAUGAAAUAUUAGAUAAUCGAUUAUCUCCUCACGAUAAUCGAUUAACUCAGUGGAAAAAAGAAAGACACUUUUAAUAACCUUUUUGGUUCAAUUUAAAACAUGAAAAUCAAUUUAUUCCAAGAGUAUAAAGAUUAUUUAUGAUAUGCAUAUGUUUUAUGAAAAUAAUUUUUGGAGAGAAGCCAAGACUUAAAAUUAGAGUAGGAUCAAGAUCACAAAUAUAAAUAAGACUCAAAAUAAAGGUCUUCAUUUACACUUUAAAACAAGAAAAUCAAUUUAUUCCAAGAGUAUAAAAAUUAUUUUUGAUAUGCAUAUGUUUUAUGAAAAUAAUUUUUGGAGAGAAGCCAAGACUUAAAAUUAGAGUAGGAUCAAGAUCACAAAUAUAAAUAAGACUCAAAAUAAAGGUCUCCAUUUAUUUUCAUUGCUUCAUUGCUUCUCUUGAUCUUUUCUUGAACUUCUUGUUUUUGUACUCCAACUUUGUUCCGUUAAUUGAUUGCAUAUCAUCUCUACAAAACAAAUAUACUUUAGUAUAAACAAAAGUAUAUCUCAAUAAUAACUUACGAUUAUUUGGCAUGUAUAAUAUUUUCCAUCUUCAUCGGUUUGUCAUUUAUCAAAACCUAUACAUAUGAACACGUAUAAACAAAAGUAUAUCUCAAUAAUAACUUACGAUUAUUUGGCAUGUAUAAUAUUUUCCAUCUUCAUCGGUUUGUCAUUUAUCAAAACCUAUGCAUAUGAACACAUUAGUUUUAACAACAUAAUAAAUGUGUUCUAUCAAGAUGAUCUUGAGGGUAGAAGACGAGGAAGCAGUUUUCAAUAAUUAUAAAGCAGUUCACCUUUCGCGUCAUUAUGAGGAGCUCUCUAUGAUAUCCUUUAUUGAAGUAGAUGAGAAAACUUAUGACUCACGUGUUUAUCUAGACGAUUCUCUAGAGAAAGCACUCAUGCUGUUUGAUAGUUUGGGGUUGAUGAGGACGUAAAAGAGAUGAUGCAAAUCCUUGACACAUCCUGUGCAUACAUAAAGGGGACACACCCCUUUGAACCCUUGGACAGGCCAGAAAUACCUCCUCCAAAGCCGUUAAGUGAAGAAGCACCAAAAUAGGAGCUUAAACCGCUCCCUUCUCACCUGCAAUAUGCUUACUUGGGUGAAUCUGACACCCUGCCUAUUAGUUUUUCUUCUGACUUGUCUAAAUUGCAGGAGCAAACGCUGCUAAGAGUGCUGCGUGAGCACAAGCGUGCACUUGGAUGGUCUGUCUGACAUCAAGGGCAUUUGUCCAGCCUUUUGCAUGCACAAAAUUCUCAUGAAGGAGGUACAUAAGCCCAGUGUUAAGCAACAACGCCGACUCAAUCCAAUAUUGAAAGAGGUGGUAAGAAAAGAAGUAAAUAAGUGGCUUGAGGCAUGUAUUGUAUUUCUCAUCUGACAGCCAAUGGGUAAGUCUCGUGCAAUGUGUCCACAAGACAGGGGGAUAACUGUGGUGGUGAACAAGAAUAAUGAUUUAAUCCAAACAAGAACGGUUACCGGGUGGAGAAUUUGCAUUGACUAUUGAAAGUUUAACAAUACCAACCAGAAGGACCACUUUCCCCUCCCCUUUAAUGAUCAAAUGCUUGAUAGAUUGGCUGGCCAGGGGUACUACUGCUUUCUGGAUGGUUACUCGGGGUAUUACCAAAUUUCUAUAGCCCUAGAGGACCAAGAGAAGACUACUUUUACUAGUCCUUAUGGCACAUAUGCGUUUAGGAGAAUGUCCUUUGAUUUUUGUAAUGCGCCUGCGACUUUUCAAUGGUGUGUGAUGGUCAUCUUCACUGAUAUGAUUGAGAGAUUUGACGAAAAAUUCAUGGAUGACUUCUCUGUUUUUGGGUGUUCAUUUGAUAAUUGCUUAAUGAACCUCGAUAAAGUACUUGCUAGGUGUGAAGAGACUAACCUGGUGCUAAACUGGGAAAAGUGCCAUUUCAUGGUGCGCGAAGGUAUAGUUUUGGGACACAAGGUGUCCAAGACGAUUUGCAGGUGGAAAAAGUGCCAUUUCAUGGUGUGUGAAAGCUUAGUUUUGGGACAUAAAGUGUCCAAAGGCGGUUUGCAAGUAUACAAGGCAAAGGUGGAAGCAAUUGAAAAAUUGCCUCCACCAAUAUCUGUCAAAGGCAUCCGCAUUUUCUUGUGCCAUGCAGGUUUUUAUCAUCAUUUUAUUAAAGACUUCUCGAAAAUUUCCUCUCCCCUGUGCAGGUUUCUUGAGAAGGAUGUAGUUUUCAAAUUCGAUGAUGCCUGUCUGAAGGCAUUUGAAGAGAUAAAAGGGAGGAUUGUGACUGCACCUAUCAUAAUUGCUCCAGACUGGGAGCAACCAUUUGAGUGGAUCUGCAAAGGAAGCGACGUGGCUGUUGGGGCUGUUUUGGGUCAUAGGAGAGAUAUGGUCAUUCACUCAAUCUACUAUGCAAGCAAAACUAUGAAUCCAGAUCAGAUGAACUACACCGUCAAUGAAAAAGAGUUGCUUGCAGUAGUGUGGGCAUUUGACAAGUUCAGGUCAUAUCUUGUGGGGACCAAAGUCAUCGUCUACACUGAUCACUCAGCCAUCACGUACUUGUUCGAUAAAAAAAAUGCCAAGCAAAGAUUGAUUCGAUGGGUCCUACUGUUACAAGAGUUCGAUCUAGAAAUUCGAGACCGCAAAUGUUCGAGAAAAAAGAUGCCAAGUCGAGAUUGAUUCGGUGGGUCCUAUUGUUGCAAGAGUUUGACCUAGAAAUCCAAGACCGCAAAGGAAUAGAGAAUCAACAGGCUGAUUACUUGUCCAGAUUAGAUAAUCGGAACCAUGUGGCUGAAGGGGGUGCAAUCAAAGAGACAUUCCCUGAUGAGAAGCUGUUGGCAAUUAGUGCAAGCACAACCCCGUCGUAUGCUGAUUAUGUGAACUUCAUUGCAAGUGGGGUGACACCACCAGAAAUCACACUAGAUAAUAGAAGCAGGUUCUUGUAUGAUGUGAGGCUAUACAUGUGGGAUGAGCCAUUCUUAUACAGGUGAAGUGCAGAUCACGUGGUCAGGAGAUGUGUUCCUGAGGAGGAGAUGAGCACAAUACUUCAUAGUUGUCACGCCUCACCAUCUGGAGGUCAUCAUGGUGGAGACCGGACCGCUCAAAAAGUUCUACAAUUAGGUUUUUACUGGCCCAAAUUUUUUAAGGAUGCACAUGCCAUUGUUAAAUGUGUGACAGGUGCCAAUGAACCGGGACGAUCACUAAGAAGCAUGAGAUGUCGCUGCAAAACAUUCUGGUAGUGGAGCUUUUCGAUGUUUGGGGAAUCGACUUCAUGGGACCGUUUCCACCCUCUAACGGUCAUAGAUACAUCUUGGUGGCAUUCGACUACGUGUCUAAGUGGUUGGAGGUCAUUGCUCUGCCUACUAAUGAUGCAAAGGUGGUGGUGAGCUUUGUUAAGAAGCACAUCUUCACCCGUUUUGGAACUCCUCCUAACGUUCAUAGAUACAUCUUGGUGGCGGUCGACUAUGUGUCUUAGUGGGUGGAGGUCAUUGUUAUACCUACUUAUGAUGCGGAGGUGGUGGUAAGCUUUGUUAAGAAGCACAUCUUCACCCAUUAUGGAACUCCAAGAGUGUUGAUCAGUGAUGGAGGUACGCAUUUGUAUAAUAAAUUGUUGAAUAACGUUCUUGCAAAAGAUGGUGUCAGGCACAAGGUCUCCACGGCUUAUCACCCACAAACGAGUGGUCAAGUGGAGGUCUCAAACAGAGAAAAGCAAAUUCUGGAGAAAAAAAACAGAGUGAAUAGGAAGGAUUAGGUCGGAAGUUGGAUGAAACAUUAUGGGCGUACAGGACAGCAUACAAGACUCUCAUAGGUGCUUCUUCGUAUAGAUUAGUGUAUGGUAAGGCAUGCUACUUGCCCGUUGUACUUGAGCACAGAGCCUAUUGGGCGAUAAAGAAGUUGAAUAUGGAGGGGGACUUAGCUGGAGAGAAGCGGUUGCUGCAACUAGAUGAGCUUGAGGAGUUUCGAUUGAACGCAUAUGAAAAUGCCAAAUUAUAUAAAGAGAAAACAAAGAGGUGGCAUGACAAUCACAUUCAGAUUCGAGAGUUCGAGCCAGGGCAAGACGUUCUCUUAUUAAAUUCAAUGUUGAAGCUCUUCCCUGGAAACCUUAAAUCUCGAUGGUCGGGCCCUUUCAUUGUGGUAUGUGUGAAGCCACAUGGAGCUGUAAAUCUAAGGGAUAUGAGUUCGAAUAGUACCUUCUUGGUGAAUGGACAACGAAUAAUGCAUUACUGGGGUUGUGACUUUGAACGACACAAGACCUCGGUGGACUUGAAGGAUGCCUAAGAACAUGUUGAGUCGUGCUGUGACGCUAAAUGAGACGCUGGAUGGGUGGCAACCUACUACAAUGUUGUAACCGUCGUGCUGUGAUAUUAAAUCAAGCGCUACUUGGGAGGCAACCCAACGAUAUUGUAGUGCUUAUUUUGUGUCUUAUGAUAAGCUAACCAGUGCAGGUAACAGAGGACAGACACUAAGGACAUGGAGCGGGGCAAAAAAAGGUAAAAAGUGAGACAAAAGAUUACCCAGGUAGCAAACUCGCGCAUCUGGACGCGUAUCUAGGCGCGCUAAAAAUGAGAAGUCUCUGUAUUGGCCAUGCUAAAAUAAGCCCGAGCGCGCAUCUGGACGCGCUAUAACGCGCCUGUGCACCCGACGCGUAUAUGAACGCGCUAGUGGCGUGAACUCUCUGUGUUGGACGCGCUAAAUAUCCGCGCCCGCGCAUCUGGGCGUGCUAGAGGCGUGAAAAAUUUCCGUCAGUUUUCUUUACUUUUCGUUUUUUUAUUUUAUUUUUUUUAACACCUAAAGACUAAGACACCCCCCCAUUGUAAACCCCUCUAUCGCUCCAUCUUCUUUACCCAAAUAAAACCCUCCUGUUCCUUCUCUCUCAAAAUCUCUCCAAUCCCCCCUCCCAUUCCACUAAGCCAAGUUCCACCCAUUCCAACCAAUCACUCCUUUAUCUUCUUGAUCUUCUCCUCUCUCUACAGGUAUGCAACCUAGUUCCCCUAUUCUCUUGUAUGUUUUCUUUUGCUUUUUAGUUUUCCAUUUUUUAGAUUUUUUUAGGUGGCAAAAUAGUCAGUUGUUGUAGUACAAAAUUAGUGUAAAUGUAGACAUCGUGGUGCUAUAAGUUGUGAAGUUAGUACAUGUUAAGUGUAAGGUGAAAACCCCUUGAUCUGAGAUAUUGGGAAAGUUAUGUGGGUGCCUCUUGCUACAACUUGAUGAAAAAGGGUAUGAAGGCUUCAUGCCUACUUGUAGAAAAGUCCCAAUGAACUUGAGUAAGUAUUUGGUGACCUAGGAUGCGUGUGAAGUCUGAGUAACCAUCUUGCGACACCACCAUUUGUUGAGCUGUGCUAAUGUGUACAAUAUUUGCGAUAUCAUGUCUUCAUAUAAUAAACGACGUGCCAUGAGAGCUUCCUCAAGGAGCCAGGCUACCUCCGCAAGGUCAAGAAGGGAUGCACCUGCACCCAUAUUUGACGCCUUAAAGUUUGUAUCAGCCAAAGCCCAGGCCUGAUUUGCAGCUAGGGCUUUGAAAAAGUCAAUUUCAGAAAGAAGAGUGGAUGUUAUGAGGUUGCAACGAUUUUGCCCACAUAUGUACACUGAGAUGAUGAGGCGAGGUUUGCAUAAAUUCCUCAAUGAACCCGGUGAAGGUAACUUAAUGUUCAUGCAGGAAUUCUAUGCCAAUGUUCCGGAGCAUAACGAUGGAAUCGUCACAGUGAGAUGACGAGAAGUAAAUGCCUCAGUAGAGGCAAUUCAGAGAGCAUACUAGCUACCUGCCCCUCUUGGGGGGUAUGUUUGAUAUGGUGUUUAUUCAAUAGCCAUGACUUUGAUGUGGCUAAAGUCAUGCAUGAUGAAAUGUUUGUGCGAAGCCAAGUAAAGAGGUAUGGGUUCAUUUUCCCUUCUUUAGUUACUCAACUAUACAGGGCUGCCCAGGUACCAGAAAAUAAAGAAAUAGAUGGUUUGGUCAAUAAGGAGUGCAAGUUCCGUGCAGACAAAGUGAUAACGUGAAAGGAAACAGUGGUAGUGUCGAGCAGUUCUGACAAUGAUGAUGAUGAUAAUUAUGAUGAGGAUCAUGUGGAAGUCGUACCACAAACCUGAGAACAUAAUAUGGCAGCUGUAGGAUCUUCUGCAACUGCAUCCUCUUCAGUCGAUGCUCGGGUGUCUCGUUUUAGUGCUAUAGAGCAAGAGAUGGUGGGUCUGCAGACCUCCAUGACUGAUUUGGGAACCCAAAUAGAUGGAUUGGCUGACUGACAAGUGAAGAAGGAGAAAAAGUUUUUGGGCUGGCUGCGAGCUUUGGGGCUUGCGUGCAACGCAAACCCCGACACUAUCUCCGACCAAGAGUGGCUACUCAGGGAAGUUCCUUUACCUAACAAUUCUUUAAAUUUUUCAGCCAUGGGGACAUGUCUGCAUCUUAACCGUGGGGUGGGGGAUUUCCUUAUUAUAUGUUGUAUGUAGCUGUGCAAUUUAACCAUGUGUUUUGUUUGUAUCUGGCUGAAUUGAUAGUUUUAUCGAUUAAGAAUUGUAGUUUUGGUAAUUGAGAAAAAGAAUGGGUUGGCCCAAUGAAGGACCCCUGUCGACGGGAUUCUUGAGCGUCUAUAAAAAAAUUUCUUGUAGAUGUAGACUCUUCCCGAUGACGGAUCUUUCAGAUGAUUUUCUUGAUGGAGGUUAGUCUAGAGAAAACCACAAAAAGGUUUUUUUUUCUUAGGUAGUGUAGAAAUCCCCCCUUAGUUUUUCUUUGGGCCACAGUUCUUUUCCAAGGUUUUAACUUGAACCGGGUAUAGGUAGUUUUUAUUUUGAUUUUUAUUUUGAUUUUGAUUUAUUUAGGAGGUCAGUGUAAUGGGCAAUGAGCUAUAAAACUAAAAAAAGCUCCCGAAGCGUUGACACGCCUGAACAAAAUAGUCCUUGAAAGUGUGACGCCUAGUCUUAUUUGUUGAAUCUCACUGGUGUGCCUUAAUCUGUAUGUUUGUUACUGAAUUGAAUGCUCGUAACAGAUUCUCUUGAUGAGCUGAUCCGAGUGAGUCGUAUGCCAUGAGUGGUGAGGACACUAGCGAAAAUUGAAAAAGAAAAGAAUAAUAUGAAAAAAUGAGAAGAUUACAUAGUUGUCUCGUUCUUGCUAGUGGGUAUGAAUUAAUGUAGUACUUAAAGAAGAAAGGAGCAUUUUUGGGGUGAUAUUGUUUGUGAAAGUGAAGUGAGUUGAAGAAUUUGUGCUUAAAAUUAAUUAAGUGAUGUGUUAAAGUGCUUAGGAGGGUUAGUCACUAUUCCUAAAUAUAUCCUACCCGUCCCUUAUCCUACAUUACAACCAUGAAAAAAUCCUAAGUGAUUGUAGAUCGAGUGAGCCUACAUUAGCAGAUAUUUACAUGCAUGUGACUUCAUUUGUGAGGGUGAGCGAUAUUUUCUUUGAUCUAUAUAAGUCCAUAAAAUAUAUUUGAUCAUGAGAUUCGAAUGUGUGGAUUCAACUUACUCUCUUGUCUUGGUUGUGAGGGCAUAUGAUUCAUUUUUGAAAAGCAAGUUUCGUCUUAUGUAUAGAGCGCUUAAUGAAGUGUAAAUAUUGCAUGGCACGUGAGAGUCAACUUUGGGGCUAGGAUUGUUCACUCCAAGGCAUAAUGUAUGUACAUUGUUCUUGGUGUAAUGCGUUAGGGGAAAUGGUUGAGUGUCGGAAGCUCUAGAGAGUACAAUUUGAUUGCUCGAGGACUAGAAGUGAAUUAAGUGUGGGGUGUUGAUAAUAGGCGAAAUCUUGAUGAUUUAGCUAUUGUUUAUGUGCCCGCUCGAUUAUAUUUCCAUAUCAUAUUGUGCUAAAUUGAUGAAUUGUGAGCUCUAAUAGUGAUUUGUAUGUAUUUCAGGUUAAGGAGCUUGUAUUAUGCAAAGAAAUGUGAUUGGACCCAUUGUUGAGCAUAAAUGACCCUUCGGGAUUAAAUAUAGCUGAAAACAAAGAAAAGAAUAGGACAAACGGACAAAGGGGCUAGCGCACCCAAGUGCGCGCCCGCGCUACUUUUAGCGCGUCCAAGUCAGAAUGUCAGCAUACUAGCGUGGCCACUAGCGUGCCCAGGUGAGCGACCGCGCUAGUCUAAAGAUAGGGAAAGCUUUGUUGAGGGCAAUUUUGGAAAUCUGGAGGAAAAGACGUUUAACCUAAGUAAAGUCAAGCUCGCCCAAGGUCAAAUUAUCAAGGUUUUUUUAAGGCUAAAGCAAGAAAUUGAGAGGCAAGAGGCAAUGAGGGAUUUGGAUCAUCAAGUUCUACUUUUCUUCUCUUUGUUUUUGCUAAUUGUUAUGAUAUUGAACCUAAUUGUGAUGAACAACAGUAUGAUUGGCUAAACCCAUUGUUCUGGGGUCACGGGUAAAACAUGAAUAUUGUUGUUUGAAGUUAAAUUUGACAAAGUCAGUUUAUCAUAUUGGGUUGCUUAUUUAAUUUUGUCCUUAAUUAUUUUGCUGAGUAGCUAAUUGUGAAGUACUAUCUACGAAUCUCUAGUUGAACUCAAAAGUGGGAAUUUUAGAUUGCAUAUUGAACUAAAUAGAGCAAGUUCAUAACCCGGGCCUUGGGGAAUGGAUUCACAAUUGGGAUAGACAUAUACCCAAUUGUAUUUCUUGGUUGAAAAACAGGAAUUGUAAAAGUGUUCUUGUUAAUCUUGAUUCCAUAGAUAUAGGCGCAUUAAGUUGACUUGAAUAGGCGAGUAAGAACUCAACAGAUUCAUAUGAGUAAUAUUAACCUUGUCAACCAGUAACCCAGAUAAAUUGAUUAGUUGUUUAAAGCUAAGAACGCAACACGAUUGUUAAACACUCCCGUGACCCUGGAAUAUCACUCUCUAUUGUUUGUUACAUUUUGAUUAACUAUCUUAGAUAGAUUAAUUUCCAUAGUUUGGUUAGUAAAAUAAACAAAUCUCUCUUCUGUGAACAUUUUCUUGUGUAGAUAAGGUAAUUGGGUUUAAAUCAGUCAUAAGCUAAUCAAAAGUCUUCGUGGGAAUGAUACUCUACUCACUACUUUAUUACUUGACGAUCACGUGAACUUGCGUGUGUGUUUUUGGUCGCAACAGUAUUCCAUUGGAAGUGGUUGUGCAUGAGCUAAGCCUAAACCAAGGCUACUAGCUGGGAAAGCAAAAGAAGUGUCCGAUUUUCGAGGUCAGAAAUAUGGUUGUUAAAGAGAAGUUAACACUAUUACUCAAUAUCGGUUCUAUACGAGAGGCAAAAGUAUCCAAAGUUGUCAGCCAAAGUAGUUAUACUUCCUAAAAGGAAUAACAAGUUUAGAAUGUGAUGAGUUUCCUUGAUGCUUACUUUGGGUAUAAUCAAAUCAAGAUGAAACUGAAGGAUAAAUAAAAGAAUAUCAUUCAUAACGAACUUUGGCACAUAUUGUUAUUAUGUGAUGCCAUUUUGCCUUAAGAACGCCUUGUGAACUAAAUGUUAGAAAAUCAAACAGGAAAAAAAUAGGGAAGUCUACCUUAACGGCGUCAUAGUCAUGUCUUUGAAUGCAUGAGAUCACCUAAAAUACCUCCGAGAAUCCUUCAGAAGCAUAACAUGAAACUCAACCCGAAAAAAAUAUGCUUUCGAUAUUUGCUUUGGAAAAUUCUUGGGGUUUCUAGUCUCGCAAAGAUGGAUUGAGGUAAAUCUCUAUAAAAUCAAAGCCAUAAAAGAUAUCCGUAACUAGAUGACAAGUGCGAAGGGGAUGAAGAGCAUAACCAGUAGGUUAGAAGCCUUAAGCUUGUUCAUCUCGAGAUCGUUAGAGAAAUUGUAUCAUUCCUUCUCAAUUAUAAAAAGACGAACAAUUCCGAAAGGACUCCGCAAUGUCAACAGGUCUUGAAGGACCUGAAAAGGUACCUAUCAAGCCCCCCCCCCCAUUGCUAUCAAAAUUGGGGCAAAGCGAGCUGUUGCUAACAUAUUUAGCGGUUUGGGAAGUAGCGUAAGCAUUGUUUUAUUCCGAGAAGAUGAAGGUACAUUAUUUCCUGUUUAUUAUAUUAGUAAAAUAUUAUCAAGAGCGAAGACCUGCUAUCUACACCUUGAAAAGCUAGCCUUAGCUCUCGUAGUUGCCUUUCAAAAGUUAGGCCAUAUUUUCAAUGCCUCUCGAUAGCCUUUGUGACAACCUUUCCUUUAGCGAUUAUUUUUCACAAGCCUAAGUUGUUAGGCCAGUUGGCCAGAUAGGCAAUCAAAAUUAGUGAGUCAGACAUCAAGUACAAGCCUAGGACUGUGAUCAAAUCACACAUUUUGGCAGAUUUUGUGACCAAUUUUAGUCUUGAAUUAAUGCCCCUAACUGCUAAAGAGACAAUGCUAUUAUGAAUUGAUAUAAAGAGUUUGGACCUUUUUUUUCAUGGAGCUUCUAAUGUAAAAUGGUCCGAGCUUGGGGUAGUUCUAGUCACACCCUCGAGAUAAACAUAGAGGCAACCCAUUAAGAAUGUUCCAUUAAAUAACAAUGAAUCCAAGUAUGAGGCUUUGGUUGCAAAACUUGAACUAGCCCAAGAACUUUGCUCUAGCCCAUCGAGAUCAAAUGUGAUUCUCAGCUAGUAGUAAACCAAGUGUACAAGAUUUUUGAUACAAAGGAAGAACACAUGCAAUGGCAUGUGAAUAGUUUUCAAGCAUUUCUUGCACGAUUCAGAGAAUAGUAGAUCCUACACAUUUUAGGAGAAGAGAACGUGAGAGCAGAUGCACUAGCCAAUUUGGAGUAAUCUACGAAGAUAAAAGGAUCUGACUCAAGAUCUGUCAUUUAACUUCUACUCGGUAUUGGAGAUGGAUGGUUACUACGAGGUUAAUUCAACCAAUCUAGUAACGGACUAGAGGAUUAAGAUCAUCGAAUAACUUCGACAUGGAAAAUUUCCAAAAGGUCUGGAGGCAUCCAAGGAACUGCGCACCAAAGUAGCUCACUAUUGCCUUAUGGAUUGGAAAUUAUAUAGGAGGUCAUACAAGGGAUCGUUGGCCCAAUGUCUAGGAGCCUCGGAGGCAGACGUGAUAAGAGAAGUCCAUGAAUAAAUUUGCAGGAACUAUUUUAGUGCAGAUUCGUUGGUACUAAAUCUUAUUAGGGCACAAUACUUUUGGCAUUGGAUGGAAUAAUAUGCAAAGAUGUUUGUUAAAAGAUGCAACAAAUGUCAACGCUAUGCACAGUUGGUACACAAACCGACAGAACUCUUGCACUUGGUAGUGUGCCAUGACCAUUCAUGAAAUGGGGGAUGGAUAUAGUUGGUCCACUACAAUAAGGGCCCAAAAAGGUAAGAUUCCUUUUAAUUUUAACCAAUUACUUCACUAAAUGGGUUGAAACAGGUCCUUACCAAAAUAUUGAUGAGCGCGAAGUAGUUGUUUCUUAGGAGACCCCAUAAUCUACUGAUUUGGAAUAUCGGAGAAGAUUUCUUGCGACAAAAAACCAUAGUUCAUAAUCUCAAAAGUCACAAAAAUGCUGGAAAAUUUAAAAAUAAAGAGGAUUACAUCCUCACAGUACCAUCAGAGCAUCGAUAGGCAUGCAAAGUCAACCAAUAAGGUGAUUAUCCAAACACUCAAAAAGAGGUUAAAAGUUUCUAUAGGCAAAUGGCCCGAAUAGUUAUCGGGGAAUUCUUGGGGCAUACCAGACUAGGGAAAAAUCGAUCACAGAAGAGAGAGACCUUUCUCUUUCGUAUAUGGAGCGGAAGCUAUCAUACCGAUGGAAGUAGAGGAGCCAACUUUAUAAUUUUCCCGACUCAAUAAAGAAGAAAACAAUAAGGUGUCGCUACUGAAGAUGGAUUUGCUCGAUCAACAUAGAGACUUUGCAUAUGUGAGGAUGGUGGCUCAGAAGCAAAGGUUGGAAAGAUGUUAUAAUUGGAGGGUUAAUCUAUGCUACUUCGAUGUCAGAGACUUGGUCCUGAGAAAUAUGAAUCCGAGAGCUCGGGUCAAUGCUCAGAAGAUGGGUACGACAUGUGAAGGUCCCUACUAGGUAUUAGCCAUCACCGGUAAAUGAUCAUACGAAUUGGAAAAUCAAGAUUGAUUUAAUUUUCCCAGCAAUUUGAACAUGAAACACCUCAAAGGGUCUUACUUCUAAUGGAUCCUAUAAAUAAUGAAAGUAUGUGUUGCACUUUUUUUCCUUUGAUAAGUUUUUAUCCAAAUCAGAUUUUAGCAAGGUUUUUAACGAGGCAUUAAGGAAAUCAUACUAUAAACUGAGCGUCAUUAGAAAGUUUAAUACCUUUAAAUGACAAGGCAUUGAAACGAUAAACCACUAUGGGAUGGUUAAAUAAUUUUUGGCUCGAUGGCAAAUUCCUAAUGUGAAGCAAAGCUCGCCAACAAACCAAAGACUAUUUAACAAUUCAGGAAUUGUUUGCGUAUAUAAAGGAAAACAUAUUGUGUUCCAAUUUGCAUACUUCGUAUUCGGACGGGGGGNNNNNNNNNNNNNNNNNNNNNNNNNNNNNNNNNNNNNNNNNNNNNNNNNNNNNNNNNNNNNNNNNNNNNNNNNNNNNNNNNNNNNNNNNNNNNNNNNNNNNNNNNNNNNGGGGGGGGGGGGGGGGGGGGGGGGGAUAAUAUAAGAUACAACAUAAAGAUGUUUUGGAACAAAAAUUGGGGACUGCAAGAACUGGGAAAAAUAACAUCUCACGGGAUCGGGGACUUGAUGACUAGUCCCGUAUAAAUAAGUUUUACAAGUUAUCCACUUGUAUUGGAAGUUUUCUUUGUUAUUUAGAAAACGAAUUCAUAUCUACUUUCAAAUAUAGAAGAAACAUAAUAACUUAUUUUUAUUACGAUGAGUUGAUUUUAUCAUCUGAAAGUUAACAUAAACUUUAAAUGCUUGUGCCGGAAUGAAUAGGAGACAUCCUCUUAAAGAAUGGCGUAAAAAUAAGAGGGACCUCUUUAUGAAACUCUCAUAGUAAAGGAUUGACUCCGAAAGAAUUUAUGCUCGUAAUCAAAAGGUAUUGGAUGUAAGUACACCUCAAGCUUUAACUAAUUCAAUGAAAAAGAAUGUAUUUUGCACAACACUUGAGCAAAAUAUUUCUUCAUUUAUCAAAAUGCAAAACCUGGUAAAUAGUUUAGCAUUGUUAUAAAGUACAAAAAAAGGAUAAAAAAGAUGAAGAAAGAAUCUAAGCAUUAUCGUUAUCGAGAGAGGGAUCUGUGUCCUCCCCCUCCCCCUGUAAGAAGGUGCCCCAAUGGCCGGUUUGGGGCCUGGAUCAUCAUCAUCAUCAUCAUCAUAAUUUUAUUUAGGCUUCCCUUUGUAUUUGGUGAAUUUAGAAUUCAUUCUCAAAGUGUCGGUUGCAACAGGUCGAGCAGGAACAUUCGCUCGGGUAGUUAGCUCCAAUUCUGAAGCCUUAAUGAUGCAAUCAUCAAUAUCAAUGAUGCCCGCUUUUGCCUCUUCCAAGGUUUUCCUCCUCAUGUGCAAUAUAGUAUGUGUUCAAUCAUGAGGGAAUCUCUUGGUACUGGAGCUUGGAUUUGUGCCUAUCAACCUCAGACUAGAGGUCGUCCUAGUCGGAUCUCAUGGACCGAUGUGAGAAUCCAGUUCCACAGUUGUGGAUAAAUGGAUCCGAUUUUUCUCCAUUGGUAUCUAAUACAUUUCCUUCAUCUUUACCCUCUUCUUAUCUGGGGCAAUAACUUCCUUGGUGUUAGAGGCCAGCUCAGCCUUCAGGUUGGUUAUUUGGUCCUUUGAGGCUGAGUUGCGCUUGGAAACAACAAGCAUAGUAUCUUGGAGCUCAUCCAACUUAGCCUUAGUCUCUUGAAGUUGUGUGUGUAAUUGCACGGUUUCUUAGAUGUGGGACAUCAUCUCUUAUUCACUUGGCUACAAUCGGGCCUUACGGAUGCUUGCCUUAGCACCUUUUUCCUCUAAUACCAAGAGGCGCACAUAAAGUUGGUCCAUUUUAUCAAACAGUUUAUCCCGCUUAGAAAUGAGUCCUUGCUUAUCGAGCAUCAAAUUCAGUAGGCCCUUGGAGGAAAAAUGGUUUACCUAUAAAUAGAAUAAAUAUAGACAAGUCAGAAUUCCGAUUGUAGCAGAUAAAUGGAAAGGAGGUUUUAAGAAAACAAGUAUGGUACCGAUUUUGCACUUUGCAUGGCAUUAUACUCCCCAGAAAGGGAACAUAUUUUCUUCCUAUCUUUCUCUAAAGCCAAUGGAUUCAGGUAGUUCAAAAGCUCCUCCGACAUGGAUAGUAGAUAGCACUCCUUUGAAACCACAAGAAUAGUACUUAUCAUCCCUUGGGGAUCUAGGUAAGGGAGGAGAUGCAGUGGGUGAUGGUGGUGAAGGUGCAACUAAUGUUGAAGGGCGUGAAGUUAUUGGCUUUGAAGGUUAAGAAGUAGAUGCUGCAGGAGCAACACCGAUAAUUGCUUGCUUAGUGUCCAAUAGAAAAGGAAGUGCGGGAUCUUAAUUCCUUGGAUCAGAGACAGUAAUGGGGAUAGGAAAAUGAGUAUCGACGUUAUCCACCAAGUCCAUCUCGUCCAAUAAGUUCUUGGGUUUUUCCUGCAGACAGGUUUUGAAGCUCUCCCCACUGAGCAUCCGGUUAAGCUUAUGAAUAUAUUCUUUUCCUUUAAAUGGGAGUCGCUUCAUCAUUAGCUUCCUUGUACUAAAAAAUAAACACUAUGGCCGGCUCAACCGUUAAUUUCUUUAUUUUUUUAUUUUGAACCCUAGCCGAGGAAGAACGUCACCUUUUUGGUUGCUUGUUGUUUAGAAGUGUACUCUGAGAGGAAGCACCUUCACCGAAAGUAGGUCUCCGUGCACUGCCUUGAACAAGGGCACUUUGUAGAACCCUCAUUUCCUCAUUAGGGUCGGUUUAAAUGUUGACCUUGGCGCAGGUGACAGAUCCCAAGUCUUGAAUUAACUAAAAAAUGGAUUUAGAAACUUUUAUGGUGAAGUUGCCUAUGUUCAUGCAAAGAAAAAAGGAAGGACUUCCUCGGCUGAUUCUGGCAUGGUGAUUUCCAAAAUCUUCUAAAUCUACUAGUUUAGGCCUUGAUCCCUUGGCGGUUCAUAUCAAGUAGCUAAAACAAAAGAAACGAAGAGAUUAACAAUAACGGAAAUCAAUAUUCUCGGGAAGGAAGAAAUGAAUGAAAAACUUUCAAAAAUCGUUCUAUGAUUCAGGAAAAGGCAGAGAUGAAGCCGAGAUCAUGUCCCUGGUGGUGAUGAUGAAAACUUUCUCGAUCCACCCGCUUACCUUUGUCAUCGUCCAUGCUAGUGAGAAUAGCAUGGUGGCCAUAUUUAUCGAAAUUCUACUCGCCCAUGGAAUAUUUUGGCGGAGUAAAAAUUCAACAUGUGUGCAAGGGUUAAGGUUUCUCUAGAGGCAAGCCAUCAUUUGCCAUAUUGAUGAGCCUGUUUAAGCGAAGCAGACCCGGUACUGAUGGCAAAAUUCCUAAAUUAUAGGAACAAACCACUCAUUCGAAAAUAAGGAAAAUAGACCCAAGGUAAAGGGAUACGUAUAGACAUACGUAAAAUCCCCCUUGGUAAAGGUAACUCGCUCAAUCAUAUCCAGAUCAAGUAUGUUGAGGUUAGGGUAGUUGCACUCCUCAUUCACUAUAGGGAUACCAUUAGGGAGAACGGAACAGGGAUACUUACUAAAAACAGAAGUUUGUGAAGACACAGAUGGAGCCUUCUCUUGGAAAUCAUUAACGGUACUCAGGUGUUUGGGUAUGAUGGUGUUUAAAGUAUGAGGCUCAGAAUCGGCCUAGCUUCCUUGUUUUUCUUUAGCCUCCACCAAAGAAAAGGCUAUAUUUUUUAAAGAAUGAAGUAAAAGAAGACAUGGUAAAAAAGAAGUAAAACUUUUGCUAAAAACAUUGAGGAAGAUGAAAAAGAUGUUAAUCAGUAAGAGAAGACAUGGUAAAAAAGAGCAGUAAAACUUUUGCAAAAAACAUUGAGGAAGAUGAAAAAGAUGUUAAUCAAUGUCACUCCCUAACCUUGGAAAGCGCGUCAGGUGUACGACCGAGGGAACCUGGUCGAGCAAGCCUAUUCAUCCUUUCCAACCCGACUCAUUCAUAAUCCGAAAAGGAAGCGCAUCACCAUUUGUUAAAUAGGGGAGAGAUAGUUAUAUAAAUAUGUAAAUGUUGCUAGUUCUCUUUUACUUAAAAACCAUAUGCCAUAGUUAAGUUUCCAAAAGUACAUACAAUUUUGUUUACCUUAAAAAUGGUAAUUAAAAUUAGAUUUAAUUUUGCUGUUCUAAAAAUAUGUAAUUUAUUUUUAUGCUAGUUGUUAGGCUGUAUAUGCUAAGUGUGAGACUAGAAAAUAAUAUAAGAGCUUAAAGGCAGUAAGUUAAGCAAACCGAGAGGCUGAGAAUCGGGGCCUUGAGUUCGAGCUAAGUGUUUGGUUGUGGACGACAGAUGAAGGAUUAACGAUUUUAAGAGCUUUGAUAUGAGCUCUUUAUAAUCAUUAAUGAGUAAUAACUGAAGAAAAAUUAAUGGAACACAAUAAAUAUAAACAAUACACAUAAGUAAUAGAAUUGAGGGAGAAUAUAUUUAAAUUAGAGAGCAGAGAAUGUUCUUGUAUUGAAUGUUGUAUAUUGUGUCGCGUAUGCAAAAAAUAACAAGUGUCUCUUUAUACAUGAGGGGGAAUCCCAACAUAGUACAUGUCCAUUUAAUACAAAUAUAUGCAGUUGGUAUAGCCAUUUAAUGUUGCAGUAUUGACUAGUACUUACUCUUAUUGACUUGGUCAACUAUAACCACUUGCCUUGGGAAUCUCCCCUUAAUUAUCAUAGACACAAAUCUGUACUGCCCCAAGGUCGAGCAUAGGAAAUCCUCGGCAUCGAGCCUCGAACUGUGCCUUGGACCUUCUAAAAGAAGACCAUAGGAUGUCGAGGUGAUCCCCAAAUCAGACUUCCUGAUUUUUCCGUGUACAAAUAGUCCCCACAUUUCUUAGAAUAGAAUGAUAUGAAAUGAUUUUGACAUUGUUGAUACUCAAUUUUUUGCUAUGUAAACUUGUACCCAAAAUACUUCCAAAAUAGCGUAUAUGUGCAUAUAUAAGCACACCAAAGGGUUUUGGCAUUUUUAAUAAUUUUUAAACUAAUUUAUUGCCUAUUGUUAUACCAUAAAAUUCAAUAAUUAUUUCCACAAUUGAAAAGGGGCUCUAGUUCUAUUAAUAGAUUAAUAGAUAGUAGAUUAGUGCCUCCCUUUUAGGCCGGACUCACAAAUGUGUGUUCACAGGUUAUGGAUUUAACAAAACGUUAGACCAAUCUCAGGCCUGACACAACCAAAUUGGUUGAGGAAAAGGAAACUCCAGUGACCAAGCCCUCCCGCCCCCAAAAGCGGAGACCGAAGAACCGCCAGUGGUCGAGGACACGUCUGCCUCCUUACCGAUGUAUCAAUCCCGCACAUUAAUACCAGUCCUAGCGUGACAAGACAAAACUUCCCUUGGAGAAAGCCAACCUGAGGGAACUGGAUUGGUCGAGAAAGAUGAACCCGCACCGCACCAUAUUUCUUUGAAUCGAAACCCCCAACUAGAGAUGGAAUUCCAGAACCUAAACAACUCAGUUGAGAACUCCAUGACUGGUUCAAGGGAAGGUCGAGCCCGCCCUACGGAUCCCCUUUGUUCAAUGGGGGAGGGGUCAUAUCUUACCCGCCCGCUUAGUUCCAUAAGUCUAAAUGAUUUGGGGCACAGAAUCUGCCUUGUCUGUUAUAAUCUUUAAUUUUUGUGGAGAAAUUAUUUUUAUUCUCAUAUAUACACAAAAAUAUGGCUAAUAUAAUUUUUUGUAUAGUUUUACAAAAUUAUUUAGUAUUUUUAAAACUACAUUGGACAUAAAUUGAAAUAUUAGCCUCUUUUAAGAUUUAAUUGUAAUUAUAUUUACAAAAUUGACUCCAGCAUAUUUUAUUUAUUAAUUAUAUAUUAUUAAUCAUUUUGUCAUGUUAGAUUUAUUUCCAGAAAUUAUUUUGUUAUUUUUAAUAAAUUGAACAAGGGAGAAGUGGCUAUUUAAAUGCAAGCCCGAUUCUAUUUCAAUUAUAGCCGCCUACCCCUCUUCAACCUCGAAUCACCGGAAUCCAUGGCUAAUCUAGCCUUGGAAGACCUCUACCCACAAUCUACUUCUCCGACACGCCUGCUCAGUAAAGAUUCGAGUCUAGACCUCGAGGGUCUUCAUCUAGACCUUUCUCGAUGCGAGAUUCUUUGGCCGUUUCCGGCGUUGCUCUGACGUGCCUUAGCCUCCUGAGCCUGGAUUCAACCUUAUCAACUCAGGUCCGCUCACGUGAAUUCCAAGCCUUUCUUAACCUUUAUGGUUCUCAGAAAGCCUAGCCUAUUCGAGGUUCCUUUUCGUUUUAUUCUUUUAGAUCUGUGCUAGAUCUAUGAUAUUUGUGGCAUUUUAGAGCAUUUCUCAAAUUUUACUUUUUCCAAAACUAUUCGAAUCAAUUUACGAUUUCUGGAAAAAUUUUAUUUAAAAGUUUUCUGAUUCUUUUGCUCUCUUACGUGUGCUUAUACUUGCUUGUUUAUUUCUUUAGUUUGUUCUCUCAUUUUCUUUCCUGAUUUUACAGAGAUUCUCUGUUCACAGGCUAGCCUAGGAUUGAUUUUCAUUCUUUUCUAUGUGUUCGAAAUAGGGCUUUAAUUAUGUUAUUGAGCUCCGUUGAUCAUUUCUUCCUGCAUACUCUUGUUUUAAAACUCGUAGUUUCUGUAUUCUUUCUUGUGUAUGCCUUCCUAUCUAUGUGGUUUUGAAUUGCUUCUCAUCUCUGAUUCUAUGAGAAACCCUAAAUUUUGGCGGUUUCUCCUUCGAGUAAAGGGCAUUGGGGUUUCACUAUGAAACCCUAGGUUUACAGGCUCACGACGAACCUAUGAUCAAACUCGAAGUACUACUUGCCUUUGGCUCUAUGAUUUCUCAUUGUAAGGAUCUUCUUUGUUCUGAACUGCAUGCUUUAUAUAUAAGCUUCCCUUUAGAUGAUUUAUUAUUUGAAAUCUCUUUAAUCAGGCUGAGUGAUUUGCCACUGUUUUCUCUGAUCGAAUAUCUUUUACUUUACUAAUGUUUUCCUUAUGUAAUUGAUCUCGUAUCCUCCGUUAUUUUGUACCAAUGUUCGAAUUCUGUAUUUCCUUAAAAACUUUAGGUUUUUUGAUUUAUCAAUUAGCUCUGAUAUCCUUGGAGUAAUUUUCAAACUUAUACUUUGUUUUUCACACCAUUGUGCCCUCUUUUCUUAAAUAUCGACUAUGUACUUGACCUUAUUUAUGCACUAUAUAGGUUCUUACCCUAAUCAGCCUAAGUAAAUUGAUUCUUUCUUCCUUGUUCUAGCAUGACUAGUCGUUUAAACAAGACCCCUUAAUUAAAAGAGUCUGGUUGUCCUGAUUGAUGCUAGUUGAUUGAACUUCUAUAAUUUUGCACUCUUUGCCUACUCCACUUGUUUCCAGAAAACUAUAUAAAGGGCUUAUCCCUCCCUCUUUCAAAAACACAACAAUCAGGGAAGAACAAUUACUCUCUUUUUCUCACAAACGCAGACUAGUUUUGUGCACUGCUCCUCUUUUCUUUCUAAAAUAAUUUAAGUUUUCUCAAAACCUUCGAGUGUUCUGCUGAACUCUUGAAUUGAUUUUCUUUGUUCUGUGGCUGCAAGUGUUCUAUUUCUCUCUUUCUAUUUACUUUGCAACUAGUAUGUCUAGCCUAUUUAAAUACUGCUCAUCCACUUGGAGUGUUGUAUCUCCGAUCAAAGGUUGUUGAGGCUUGUGUCCUCAAGUUGUAACAGUUUGUUGAGCACCUGUAAGCUUAACAAGUUAGUGGAAAUCUCGAGAGAGUCUCUCGGGGACUGGACUAGCCACGGGUUGUGGUGAACCAGGAUAUNNNNNNNNNNNNNNNNNNNNNNNNNNNNNNNNNNNNNNNNNNNNNNNNNNNNNNNNNNNNNNNNNNNNNNNNNNNNNNNNNNNNNNNNNNNNNNNNNNNNNNNNNNNNNNNNNNNNNNNNNNNNNNNNNNNNNNNNNNNNNNNNNNNNNNNNNNNNNNNNNNNNNNNNNNNNNNNNNNNNNNNNNNNNNNNNNNNNNNNNNNNNNNNNNNNNNNNNNNNNNNNNNNNNNNNNNNNNNNNNNNNNNNNNNNNNNNNNNNNNNNNNNNNNNNNNNNNNNNNNNNNNNNNNNNNNNNNNNNNNNNNNNNNNNNNNNNNNNNNNNNNNNNNNNNNNNNNNNNNNNNNNNNNNNNNNNNNNNNNUUUAUUUCCUGCAAUUUUUAAAUUCCGCAAGUUUACGCUAAUUUUUAUUAUAACGCUAUUCACCCCCCUCUAGCGUUAAGCGUAUUAUCUAACAUAUAGGAGCUUCUGUUAAAAAUCAAACUUGCUUCAUCUGUUUUUAAAAGCAAUAACAAUUGGUUCAUAUGUGCCUAAAUCAGUAUACGUUUUCAAAACAUAACUUUUGAUAAAAUUCUCUCCCAAAUAGAUGUUUACUUCACCUAAAAUCCAUUUUUUUAAUUUGCAUAUAUUUUUUUGGAAAUUGCUUUUUCUAAAACUGCCCAUAAAUGUGUUUUUCCGAUUAAAUUCCUGUCCUUUAAACUUAUCAUUUUAAACUAGUUCUGCAACUUACUCUUUUCGUUAGAUAACUCUGUCGCUUCUGGACUUUUUUAAAACCACUAUGUCUGUGUUUAAUUGUAACUGGGCAUUCCGCUUUUCUUUUGAAACUCAUUUCUAAAUGGUUUACUAUGUCUGCAGCAUAUCUUUUCUUUCAAAAACUCUUAUACAUAGUUAUCUUCUAAAAUCAGUACUUCUUAAAUUAAUUCGCGUAAAUCUAAUGCCUUAAUCCUUGACAACUGUAUCUGAGUGGCAUGAUGCAGGGUUUCUGUCUAAAUAUAUGUUUGAACUAGUACGCUCAUAGCUUAGUUUUAA
rnacentral:lncRNA from 1 species